AGGGCAGCCAAGGAACCAGCCGAGGGCAAUAGCGUCUCUUGCCAUUUGGGGGCCUGCAGCUCUGCCCUUCAAAGUGAAUCUGGAGAUUCUACUGCA
rnacentral:snoRNA from 1 species